rnacentral:rRNA from 1 species
UACGAAGGGUGCAAGCGUUACUCGGAAUUACUGGGCGUAAAGCGUGCGCAGGCGGUUUUGUAAGUCUGUCGUGAAAUCCCCGGGCUCAACCUGGGGAAUUCGCGAUGGAGACUGCAAGGCUAGAAUCUGGCAGAGGGGGGUAGAAUUCCACGUGUGGAGCAGUGAAAUGCGUAGAGAUAGUGGGAGGAACACCGAUGGCGAAGGCAGCCCCCCUGGGU